CCCUUCUACGCCGCCUCCUCGUUACUUCCCGUGUCCCUGUCCUUUUCCUCACGCCUCCUCUGCAUUUGUGCGCCGGGCAAGCGCAAGGCCGCCGUUGACCCGGGCCACUCCGGCCAAAAAUAGUACUCCCUCUGUUCCGAAAUAUCCGUCGCUAGUGGUAAAUUUACAAAAAAAUUGGAAGUUUUUGGGACUGAACACAACCGGCAGUCAAGAGAAUCAUCAGUUCUCGUCGUCGCAUCGCCCACUCAACUCGCAUCCACCAUUCCACCCGCACCCCCCGAACUUCUCCGCCGUCCCAGCGCCGGCGCGACGCCGCAUGCCCCGGCAGAGCAAGCGCUGCUGCAAUCGCAUAUGCCCGUCGAGCGCCGCUUCAUCCUACGCAUUCGGCCGCCGCUGCCCCCGUCGCAUCUGCCUGGCUCCAAAAAUGCUCAUUUUUUGGGUCCAAAUUGGCUGAUCUUGCGACGGUGCUAGAUCUGGUAGCGGCGAAGGCAGCCAGCGGGGAGGAGUAGGUCCUCCAUGGCGGGCGGUGGCACGGAAGUGGGCGGUGAGGCGGCUCGGUGACCGGACGGCCCUCCUCCUCGCCGUUCCCUUCAAAAGACCCCUCCCCCUCCCCAAAUCCCCUUAGAGAGUGCACUGACAGAUAGAUGGAGUAAUUUCGCCUUAAUCCGUGGUGCUUCCCUUUCUCUACUUAAUCUGUGGUGGUUCCAAAUCCUCCUAAGAGUAAUUGAUGCCCAACAUUCUCCAUCUCAUUUUCAUUGCUGCUUCUCUGGCCACAGCGUUCUGCGUCUCCUCGAUGAGUAAUCAAUCCAUGUUUAGAGUUAAUUAGGAGUGCAUUAUUUUUUGCUAGUUCCUCAUUGCUACAAUUACUCCUGAUUGUGACCCAGCUUCCAAGUUUCAGUCAUUAUUUCUGGAACUUUUCUAUAAUUCGAGUACUAUGAUGAUGUUUAUCUUCUUAAGAACAAAGGAACAAGUGUGGGAGGAUGAUAUCUCUGCUGCUUGUUGUACUUCAAUAUUCCAGACCGUUGUUUAAGUUCUUGGAGUAAAUUCAGUGUUUAAACAUUUUAUUCUUGGCCACAACAAUAACUAUGUGAGUGUACUGUAAUCCAAGAGAUUGUUCUUCAUUCUUCUUGUAGGUAAUAGUUGUUACUGUUACUGUUAAAGACAUGGCUCUCUUGGUGCUGCAGCUUCUUCCUCGCUGUGCAGGGACGGCGGCGACGAGCUUCUACCUCGGCUACAACCACCUAGGUUCUGCUGGACAAGGAGCUCGGAGAGGCGCUGGAGGAGGUAGAGAAUUUGAUAAAAAAACAGGGUAGCAGCAGCAUUUCAGUUUGGGAAGGUUAGACUGCUGGAGUUGAAGCAGUUGUGGAUUUCGUCAAGGCAAAAAUAGAGCAUUUCCACUUAGGCCUUGUUCGUUUAAUCCUCCUCCCAAGGGGAUUGGAGUGGAUUGGAGAGGAAUUUGGCUUGUAGGGGAUCUAAUCCCCCUCAAUCCCUGCCAAUCCCCCUCACAAACCACCUCAACCGAACAAGGCCUUAGUGAGAUGAAAAGGGUUAGCUUUCAGGCUUUGUUUCAGCAUGCUUUUGAUUCGUCACUCCUGAGCACUAAUUAUUACUUGCCUGCACUACUCCCUCUCCGUGUACAUAUUAGAAAUUCUAAAAAGACUUCAUGCGUGGGUCAAAUGUGUGCUCGGUGCGUUAGGUCCUUCUUGUUUUAAUUUGAACAAGAAACCAACCCUGUACUACUGGUAGUCCUAAGCCCAGGGGUCACACUAAGCACACUUGAUUUUUUGGGUCGAAACUGUAAAUUAGUACGUUGUUGGCCCUGCUGCACAGCAUAGCAGGAGAGCCCGACCCACCUUCAA